AUUGAACGCUGGCGGCAGGCUUAACACAUGCAAGUCGAGCGGAGAGAGGUAGCUUGCUACUGAUCUUAGCGGCGGACGGGUGAGUAAUGCUUAGGAAUCUGCCUAUUAGUGGGGGACAACAUUUCGAAAGGAAUGCUAAUACCGCAUACGUCCUACGGGAGAAAGCAGGGGAUCUUCGGACCUUGCGCUAAUAGAUGUGCCUAAGUCGGAUUAGCUAGUUGGUGGGGUAAAGGCCUACCAAGGCGACGAUCUGUAGCGGGUCUGAGAGGAUGAUCCGGCACACUGGGACUGAGACACGGCCCAGACUCCUACGGGAGGCAGCAGUGGGGAAUAUUGGACAAUGGGCGCAAGCCUGAUCUAGCCAUGCCGCGUGUGUGAAGAAGGCCUUAUGGUUGUAAAGCACUUUAAGCGAGGAGGAGGCUACUUUAGUUAAUACCUAGAGAUAGUGGACGUUACUCGCAGAAUAAGCACCGGCUAACUCUGUGCCAGCCGCCGCCGUAAUAC
rnacentral:rRNA from 1 species